rnacentral:rRNA from 1 species
GUGCAGCAGUGAGAAACCUCCGCAAUGCGGGAAACCGCGACGGGGGGACCCCGGAGUGCCGUGGCAACGCCACGGCUUUUCCGGAGUGUAAAAAGACUCCGGGAAUAAGGGCUGGGCAAGGCCGGUGGCAGCCGCCGCGGUAAUACCGGCGGCCCGAGUGGUGGCCGCUAUUAUUGGGCCUAAAGCGUCCGUAGCCGGGCCCGUAAGUCCCUGGCGAAAU